AGAAGCUCUCCUGCACCCUCAACCUGCUGGCCACGCCCAGGGCCCAGCUCAUCCAGAUGAGCUGGACAGCCCUGCGGGCUGCGUUCCCCGCCCUGAGCCCAGCACAGCUGCACCAGCUGCUGACUCACUACCAGCUGGCCUCGGCCAUGGGCCCCAUGAGCGCCUGGGAGCCAGGGGCCCAGGACAGCCCCGAGGCCUUCAGGUCAGGUAAGCCCUGCCCCAGGGCAGGAGAGGGCUGGUGACUCAGUGGGAGACUCGCCCCGAGGCUGGAGGCAGCAUGCUCUCAUCCCAACUGAAGUGGAGUGUGGGGGACCUCUCUCCUGGGGACCUCCCUGGAGGAGCCUCCACCCAGAGGACCCCCCCGCCCCAUCCCCAACCUGGGGAUCCGGGGACCUCCUCAGCGGGGGAGUCAAGGAGCCGAGAGUCCAAGCCGAAGUUCCAAACUCCAGGCUCAGGUCCAAGGCCCCCUCGUUCCCUCACGGAGCCGGAGGAUGGGGCCUCCCCUGUUGUAUGGCUACCCAGG
rnacentral:sRNA from 1 species